UGCUGGCUUUGCAUUUCUCUUUCCUCCAAAAUCACUGAGGCCUCAAUUUACUCACUGCUGAAAAAGGAGGAUUCUGUGUAUUUUUAAAUUAAGAAUGUUGUUUUUACCUAAAUCAAUCUGGCCUGGCAUAUGACAACAUAAAAAAACUCAAGGAUAUAAAAACUCACCAAAAAACCGCCCAAAACUCACCAACCAAACAAAUAAUUAUGCUGAACACCCUUGGGCACUCUCUAAUUGGAUGUCCUGGGUCCUCCCAAUUCUUAGUCCUUUAAUACCUGUUUUUCUUCUUCUCUUAUUCAGACCUUGUGUCUUUCGUUUAGUUUCUCAAUUCAUACAAAACCGCAUCCAGGCCAUCACCAAUAAUUCUAUACAACAAAUGCUUCUUCUGACAACUCCACAAUAUCACUCCUUACCCCAAAAUCUUUCUUCAGUUUAAUCUCUCCUACUCUAGGUUCCCACACCGCCCCUAAUCCCACUUGAAGCAGCCCUGAGAAACAUCACCUAUUAUCUCUCCAUACCACCCCCCCAAAUUUUUGCUGCCCCAACACUUCACCACUAUUUUGUUUUGUUUUUCUUAUUAAUAUAUGAAGACAGAAAUGUCAGGCCUCUGAGCACAAGCUAAGCCAUCAUAUCCCCUGUGAACUGCGUGUAUACAUCCAGAUGGCUUGAAGCAACUGAAGAUCCACAAAAGAAGUGAAAAUAGCCUUAACUGAUGACAUUCCACCAUUGUGAUUUGUUCCUGCCCUACCCUAACUGAAAAUAUAUAUUCUCCCCCACCCUUAAGAAGUGCCACUGGGUUAGAGUCUCCCCGACCAAGCUGGUCUCAGCAAGUGGUCUCCAUCAUGGGGGCUCGAAUCCAGGUUGAAGGGUCACCAGAGUGAUGGUUGGAGAACAUGGAACUAGCUGGAGGACACCUGAGUACUCUUAAAGCAAACCCCGUGUUAAUUGAAAAUGCUCAGUUACGAUUUCAUACAGAUGAACAACUGAAGACAAAAACAACAAAGGGGGAGAAAGAGGGAUUAUGGGACAGCCCAUAUACAAUUGAAUCUAGCAUUAUUAACUUUAAAUUUUUUGAGUCUGCCUAAAGGCCAGAUGUUAUCAGCAGCUGAACAGCAUUUACAGAAACCGGCUGCAAAGACAGAAGCAGAACAACUGGUUUGGUGGAGAGAUCCGAUAACAAAAAGUUGGGAAAUAGGUAAAAUAAUAACUUGGGGUAGAGGUUAUGUUUGUGUUUCUCCAGGCCAAAAUCAAUAACCAAUUUGGAUACCAUCAAGACACCUGAAACCUUAUCAUGAGCCAGAUGCUGAGGAAGAGAUUCCAGGAGGAUCCUGAGGACCCCCUGGUUGCAGCCACGUCGAGGCUGACACUGAGGAGGACCCCAACUGUCAUGAGCAACACCCGUCGAACACAGCCAUCCACCUGGGGACAAAUCAAGAAGCUGUCACAGAUGAUGGAAGAAAACCUGAGGAAAGCGGGACAACCAAUCACAAUGAGUAAUUUGGUGAUCUAUCACAGUGAUGAUCACCAUUGCCAUGAGUAUUCCUUCAACAAGGGCUGACACAGAGAACAAUUAUACUUAUUGGGCAUAUUUAUCAAUCUUGUCUGGCAAUAAUGCCUAGAUGAUUUCACUCUAUGGCACAGUUACACAUGCUUUCUGAUCUCAGUAUUUACCAUAAUAAAUCUGCUCCUAUAAUUGAGGCAUACCACCCUCAAAAACCUAUUUGUAAACAAAAUAGAACCUGGCCAGAAAUAAUGAACAACUUGUUUAGUAAGAUUGCAUUGCAGAACAGGCAGAGAUGCUACGCAAUGAUUCCUAUGGGAUCAUUGAUUGGUCCCCUAAGGGGAUGUUUAGCUUAAAUUGCACCUCUCAGUCUGCAUGCCAUGGCCACACUAGUUCAGAUGGUCUGAACAAAGUGGUCAGAUGGCAGAAAUGAUAAGAAGUAUGGCAAAAGUUCCUAUUGUCUGGAACCAUGGCAGUAUAGUGUCACCUCAACCUCAAAUGAUAUGGCUCAUUGUAGGAGCUAAACAUAAGGAUUUGUGGAAACUAUUAAUAGCUCUUAAUAAGAUCAAAAUUUGGGAAAGAAUAAAAAAAGCAUCUAGAAAGACACUCUACAAACUUGUCUUUGGAUAUUACAAAAUUAAAAGAACAAAUAUUUAAAGCAUCCCAGGUACACCUGACCUUAAUGACAGAAACUGGAGUGCUUGAAGGAGCUGCAGACAGAUUAGCAGCUAGUAACCCAUUAAAAUGGAUAAAAACACUUGGAAGCUCUGUGAUUUCAAUGAUGAUUGUGCUUUUAAUCGGUAUUGUUUGUCUUUGUAUAGUGUGCAGAUGUGGAUCCUGACUCCUGUGAGAAGUAGCUCACAGUGUCAAAGCUGCCUUUGCUUUUAUCGAUUUGCAAAUCAAAUAAGGGGGACAUAUUGGGAACAGCACCCCCCCCCCCAAAAUCUGGCCAUAAACUGGUCCCAAAACUGGCCAUAAACAAAAUCUCUGCAGCACUGACAUGUUCAUGAUGGUCUUAAUGCCCACGCUGGAAGGUUGUGGGUUUACCAGAAUGAGAGCAAGGAACACCUGGCCCACCCAGGGUGGAAAACCACUUAAAGGCAUUCUUAAACCACAAACAAUAGCAUGAGUGAUCUGUGCCUUAAGGCUGUGCUACUGCUGCAGAUAACUAGCCCAACCCAUCCCUUUAUUUCAGCCCAUCCCUUCGUUUCCCAUAAGGGAUACUUUUAAUUAAUCUAAUAUGUAUAGAAAGAAUGCUAAUGACUGGCUUGCUGUUAAUAAAUAACGUGGGUAAAUCUCUGUUGGAGGCUCUCAGCUCUGAAGGCUGUGAGACCCCGGAUUUCCCACUUCAC
rnacentral:lncRNA from 1 species